CCGGAGCUGAACAAGUCCAUUUAUUGGGCAACGUUUACUCCUGGCUUCCCCUCCCACCGAUGCUCUGUGAGGCCUUUUUGUAAACAUAGAGGCUCUUACCCACACAGAAUGGAGAUGAAGGGAACACGGAUAUUUUGCUCUAGUCCAUGGCGUCAGUCUGCUUAUAAAGGCAUUUCUACGGAAGACAGAAUGUCAUUGUCAAAUUCUAAAUCUUGGGACUGGGGUGGAUACCACCUCUGGAGAUUAAAGAGCCUGUGCUUGUUCAGGGGGGUCUCUGCGGUCUGUUGGGCAGUUGUGCGUCUGUACCUCAGUGACCAUGGUGUGGUGGAAGGAACGGGAGCAGAAGGCAGUGGCAGAACGUGUGCAGUGUGA
rnacentral:lncRNA from 1 species